AAUUUAUUUAUUGAAUACUGUAACAGCUCUUUCAGUCCUGCAUGAUGUUUUCACACAUUCUGCCCCCUGUAAUGUUUCAUUAAUUAAUGUGGUGAAGUUAACAUUUGACUCCUGCCUAGCCAACAGAAAGAGGGCAGAGGCCCGUAAAACAGGUGGAGGACCUGCACCACCACCUCUAACAGAGGCAGAGGAGAGGGCCCUUAGCCAAACAACAGGAAGGCCCAUGGCUGAGGGAAUCCCAGGGGGCAGCUCAUCUGAACCAGUCAGCCCUGAGGACACAAGUGCCUUCAUAACAUGUAACAAGUCCACACUUCUAUAUUGUUUUUUUUAUGAAGCCUCUUUUAGAUGCAAAAGCUGUUUGUUCCUGAAUCCAAUAGAUUCUGAGGGAAGUCUCCACCUAUUGGAGCCUCAUGUGGCCCAACUCCAGCCUGUUGAUGACGAACAUGAAGAUGAGGACACUGUGUCUGCUGUCACAGACAGGCCCUCAGAGAGCAUAACUGGACAGCAUGAAGAGGGUCCAUCAACUUCUGCAGAACAAAUGAAUACAGUGAGAGUUUC